AAAAGAAGGAAAGCACCAGUGAUGGCUAACAACGGUUGGUUCUUGAAUAAUGGAGGAAUUUACAAGAAUCAGCAAUGGCCAUGGAGAAUCUCAAUCUCUUCUCUGUGGACACGUCUUGAUUUUCAGUUGAAUAUUAUUGAUAAUUUAAUGUUUAAUGUUCUGUAUGUUGUUGAAUCUGUUGUUCUUGUUUCUACUGUCUGCUUCUUCUAUCUCUGUUAUGGCUGUAGCUUUUGAUCCUUUGCUUUCUCUUUUUUCUCUUUAUUUUUUCUUAUAUUAUUUCCUUUUCACUCAUUUGUUCUCUCUUGUUAAAGUUUGGAUAUUCAUAUUUUUUUAAUUUCCUUGAUGAAAUAAUUUUGUAAUUGAAUUCAUAUAUUCAGUGUAAUUUAGAAGAAAUGCACAUUUUUGGGGAGAAGUUUUAGGUUUUAGAAAGAAAAAGAGUAAUAAGAGUGAGACCAAGAAGUUUUGUUGGUGGGCAAUGGAGCGCAAGCUUCAGUCUCAUAGCCUUCUUUUCGUUUACUGAAAAGAAGAUUUCUGCUUACUUGACGAUAACAAUUCGAGAAUAACCACUAUGUCCAGCAAUCGUCGCUCUCGCAGAUUUUUGAGAAGCCAUGAGGUUUGUCGCUAUUUAUGUUUUGAAUUGCUUUUCUAAGUGUAAGUGGCAAGUUUACAGGCAAUGUUCUAUUUUGGAUUUUGGUUUCUGCUUGUAUCGGUUGUUACGUUGCCGUUUUUGGACUUGAGGGAAUUGUCUUUGCUCGAUUGUGUUUGUUUAUGAAUUACUUUUAUGGGCAUGCAAUGAUUUCGGGUUUCUUCCUCUCCUUCUCCGAUUGUGGCUGCAAUGAAGAUGGCAACAGUGGCCGGAGGUCCCAUGGAUACGGAUUUGGAGUUAGGUGGUUUGGGCUUUUGGAGUUAGACAAACUUUAAUACUCUUUUUGUUUUAUUAAUAUAAAUUUAUUUUAAUUUUUGUCUAUUAUAAGACACUUUAUUUUUUUAAAUAUAAUUUGUUUAUUAAUUUACUAAAAAUGUGGUAAAAAAUAAAAUUCAUUUAGUAAAA
rnacentral:lncRNA from 1 species